rnacentral:rRNA from 1 species
GUGAGGAAUAUUGGUCAAUGGGCGAGAGCCUGAACCAGCCAAGUCGCGUGAAGGAAGACGGCCCUACGGGUUGUAAACUUCUUUUGCAAUGGAAUAAAAAGAGUUACGUGUAAUUCAUUGUAUGUACAUUGCGAAUAAGGAUCGGCUAACUCCGUGCCAGCAGCCGCGGUAAUACGGAGGAUCCGAGCGUUAUCCGGAUUUAUUGGGUUUAAAGGGUGCGUAGGCGGAUUGGAAAGUCAGCGGUGAAAGUUUGCAGCGUAACUGUAAAAUUGCCAUUGAAACUGUCAGUCUUGAGUGCAAAUGAGGUAGGCGGAAUGUGUUGUGUAGCGGUGAAAUGCAUAGAUAUAACACAGAACACCAAUUGCGAAGGCAGCUUACUGGGAUGCAACUGACGCUGAGGCACGAAAGCGUGGGGAUCAAACAGGAUUAGAUACCCUGGUAGUCC